rnacentral:rRNA from 1 species
AUGUUAUACCUCUGCCUACAGCUGGUGUUGUGCCUCCUCUUCCAAGAAAGACAUGCGGCGCACCAUGGAGGGACCACAAUGAGGUCUCAACACAUGGCCCUCCUCCAGUGGAAAGCUACCCUUGCGAGCCCACCGCAGCAGAUGAGCUCUUGGCAGGGAAACACCAGCCCUUGCAACUGGACGGGCAUCAUGUGCACGGCUGUUCACCAUGGCCGUCGUAGGCCCUGGGUGGUAACCAACAUCUCCCUGCCGAAUGCUGGCAUCCGUGGCCAGCUUGGUGAGCUCAACUUCUCGGCUCUUCCAUUCCUCGCAUAUAUUGACCUCAGCAACAACAGUCUGCAUGGUGCACUGCCCGGUAGUAUCAGCUCCCUGACAUCACUUUCGGUACUUGUCCUUCACCACAACCAGCUCAUAGGGAAAAUUCCUUAUGAGAUUGGUGGCCUGGAAAGUCUAAGCCUUCUUGAGCUCUCGUUUAACAGACUCACAGGACAUAUCCCUGCAUCUCUGUGUAACCUAACAAUGUUAACUGAUCUUCUCAUUAACCAAAACAUGCUAUCAGGUCUCAUUCCUAAGGAGAUUGGAAGGCUUGUCAACCUACAAAUUCUACAGCUAAGCAACAGCGCCUUAAGUGGCAUGAUACCAAAAACCCUUGGAAACCUAACCCAACUAAAUACUUUGUACCUCUUUGGUAAUCAACUUUCAGGGCCUAUACCCCAAGAGCUAGGCAGGCUAGUCCGUUUGCAAGUUCUUGGGCUUAAUUCAAAUGAUUUUUCAGGCCCAAUUCCAAUCUUCAUAGUCAAUCUCACUAAGAUGAACCAGCCUUUUCUCUAUGGAAAUCAAAUAACAGGCUCGAUACCCCCAGAACUAGGAAACCUCGCUAUGCUAAACCAACUUAUUCUCGACGAAAAUCAAAUAUCUGGUACAAUACCACCAGAACUAGGGAACCUCACUAUGCUCAAUACGUUUACUCUCUUAACAAAUCAAAUCACAGGCCCAAUACCUAUAGAAUUGGGCAGCUUGCUGAAUCUCCAGAUGUUAGACUUGUCCAACAACCAAAUAACCGGUACCAUUCCCCAAGAGAUUGGCAAUCUAAUGAACCUCGUAGAUUUAGAAUUGUCUCUGAACCAAAUUUCGGGAUCAAUACCAAAAACUUUUGGGAAGUUGCAAAGGCUGCAAAGUCUGGAACUCUUCAAUAACAAGUUAUCAGGUUCUCUUCCUCAAGAAUUUGGAGAUCUCAUAAACCUUGUUGAACUUGGGCUGGAAAGAAACUCACUUUCAGGACCUUUACCCGCAAAUAUAUGUUCAGGUGGCAGACUUCGAUAUCUCAAUGUCUUUUCUAAUAUGUUCAAUGGCCCCAUUCCAAGGAGUUUAAAGACAUGUAUAGGUUUGCGUAAACUUUCCCUUGACAGCAACCAACUAACAGGAGACAUCUCUCAGGAUUUUGAUGUGUAUCCACAACUCAUAUGGAUGAUCUUGUCAUCGAAUAGACUCUCAGGGCAGAUCUCAGAAAACCUAGGUGCAAGUAACCAGCUAACACAACUACAUCUCCAAAAAAAUAUGAUCACAGGUUCCAUACCUCCAAUCCUUUCUAAAUUGUCCAACCUAGAAGAACUAAGACUUGAGUAUAAUCAUCUCAGCGGUGAAAUUCCACCAGAAAUGUGCACUUUUGCAAAUCUAUAUGUGCUGAACUUAUCGUCGAACCAAUUAUCCGGGUCUAUACCUACACAGAUAGAAAAGCUGAGCAAUCUAGGAUACCUUGAUAUAUCUGGGAACAUGCUAAGUGGAUCAAUACCUAAGGAACUAGGGGACUGCAUGAGACUAUUGUUCUUAAAGAUCAACAACAACAAUUUCAAUGGGAGUUUGCCCAGUGAGAUUGGAAAUUUAGCAGGCCUGCAAAUCAAGUUAGAUGUGAGCAACAAUAACCUUAGUGGUGUGUUGCCGCAACAACUUGGGAAGUUGGAGAUGCUAGAAUUUAUGAAUUUAUCACAUAAUCAGUUCAAUGGCAGCAUUCCAUCCUCCUUUGCAAGCAUGGUGAGUCUUUCAACACUUGAUGUGUCCUACAAUGACUUGGAAGGACCACUCCCAACAACACGGCUACUCCAAAAUGCUUCAGCAAGUUGGUUUCUUCACAAUAAAGGUCUGUGCGGCAACAUCUCUGGCAUGACACCUUGUUAUUCAACUCCAGUAGCUGGUCACCAUAAACGGAAGAUACUUGGUUUGCUUUUGCCAAUUCUUCUUGUGGUGGGUUUCAGCAUUGUUGCUGCAAUUGUUGUCAUAAUAAUGCUUAAUCAUAACAAGAGAAAACCUCAAGAAAGGGUUACUGCUGAAAGAAGGGACCUAUUCUGUGUUUGGAAUUUUGAUGGAAGAUUAGCAUUUGACGACAUUGUAAGGGCGACAGAAGACUUUGAUGAUAAGUACAUCGUUGGAACGGGAGGAUACGGCAAAGUCUACAGGGCACAACUCGAAGAUGGGCAGCUGGUUGCUGUGAAGAAGCUUCAUCAGACCGAAGAAGAGUUAGAUGAUGAAAGAAGAUUUCAUAGUGAAAUGGAAAUCUUAACACAGAUCCGACAACGAAGCAUUGUCAAAAUGUAUGGAUUCUGCUCCCAUCGAGCAUAUAAAUUUCUUGUCUACAACUACAUUCAGCAGGGAAGCCUCCACAGGACAUUGGAAAAUGAGGAACUAUCAAAGGAACUGGAUUGGCACAAGAGAAUUGCUCUUGCAAAUGAUGUGGCUCAAGCAAUAUCUUAUUUGCACCACGAAUGCAGUCCACCUAUAAUCCAUCGAGAUAUCACGAGCAACAACAUCUUACUUGAUACAUCCUUCAAGGGUUUUGUCUCGGAUUUCGGCACAGCAAGGAUUCUUAAGCCUGAUUCAUCAAACUGGAGUGCACUUGCAGGAACGUAUGGCUACAUAGCUCCUGAAUUGUCGUACACAUCUGUUGUGACAGAGAAAUGCGAUGUCUAUAGCUUUGGAGUGGUUGUGCUAGAGCUAGUGAUGGGGAAGCAUCCAAGGGAUCUAUUAGACGGUACUUUGUCAAACGGAGAACAAGUCAUACUGGUGAAAGAUAUUCUGGACCAACGACUGACAACACCAACAACUGAAGAGAAUCAGUUAGCUCUGCUCAUCAAGCUGGCCUUUUCUUGCUUGGAAUCUUCUCCACAAGCAAGGCCUAGCAUGCGGGAGGCAUACCAAAUGCUCAUCGAGCGACCCUCCUCCAGUUCAUGUUCUGUGCCUUUCAGCGCACUUCCGUUACAACAAGUAAGGACGAGUUGA